rnacentral:rRNA from 1 species
UACGUAGGGGGCUAGCGUUGUCCGGAAUCAUUGGGCGUAAAGCGCGUGUAGGCGGCCAUGUAAGUCCGUUCUGAAAGCCCGGGGCUCAACCCCGGGAGGCGGAUGGAUACUGCAUGGCUCGAGUACGGAAGAGGCGAGUGGAAUUCCCGGUGUAGCGGUGAAAUGCGCAGAUAUCGGGAGGAACACCAAUGGCGAAGGCAGCUCGCUGGGACGUUACUGACGCUGAGACGCGAAAGCGUGGGGAGCAAACAGG